rnacentral:lncRNA from 1 species
CCACAGUCAACCAUGGGCCAGAACAUAGUUACACUGCCACAAGUUGUGGAUGGGAGGGCUGGAUUUCCUGAACCCUUCCCAGCAUUGCUCGAGUUUCUUGGUUCCUCCGCUAGAGAAGAGGAGCCCCAGAGCUCUGUAGGCUCCAGAAAAGUGCCCAAAUCAUAAGCAGACAUCUCAUUGGAUUUACUGAGCACACCCAGGUAUCCACCACCCAAGGGAAGCAACGAAGGUGACCCCACCCAGCAUUUACCCUGUGUCCCUAUCUUGGACAUUGAUUCUGCUCCAGAGGUCACAAUCUCAUGCCGCCAAUUGCCAUAGAUUCGUUUUGCUUGGUCUUAAACUUUAUAUAAAUGGUAAGUUGCAAAAAGUGGAAACUUUCGUUACUGGAUUCUUUUGUUGGCCUUAUGCUUGUAAGAUGCGUCCACAAUGUUAAGAUACAUUUCUUGCAAUAAUUUGUAGAAUUUACAUCUUUACAAUGUUCAACAUUCCCAUUCAGAAUCAUGAUAUAGAUCUUCAUUUAAUCAAAUCUGUGCAUGUGUUAGAAAAUUCAAAGAGUGUAUUUUUAUAGUAUUGUAACUUGGUAAUUUAUGGCUUUAGUUGCUAUUGAGAGUAAAUUUUCCAGCAUAUUUUUAAACUGGUUCUUGCUGAUAAAAUACCCGGUGAUUAAAAUAUAUGUAUAUAGUUGUCGUUUUACAUAUAAAAUAUUUUAAUCAGCUUGUCUUUGAUUACUGGUAAAGUGAGCACAUUUCCAUGUGUUUAUUGGCCACAUUAAUUUUUACCUUUUAAUUGCUGCUACUGCUGCUUCUGCUUCUUCUUCU